rnacentral:lncRNA from 1 species
UCCUGCCUCUCCAUAACCCUGGCUAACGGCUCCGAUGGGGAGCUCCCAAAGGGAGACCUCCCUACUCCCCCAGCCCCGAGUGCAGCCCCAUCAAAGCGGCAGGGCUCUCGGCAUGGAGAUGGGGCCGCUAAUCCAGUUGCUCUGACCCAUUUUGGGCGAUAGGGUCUGGGGAGGCCCAGGGACGGGGCACGGGGAAGCCCGGAGGUCCCUCCAGCAGGUCGGGCGAGGACGCUAAAGGGCACCUGUUGCGGCGCGCGGUGCGGUGACUGCGGCGCACCUGAGCUAGGCCGGGCCCAGGGCGGCGGCGGGCGCACAGCUGAGCCGAGGUUCCAGGCCAGGCCCGCGCCUUGGGCUUCCGCCGGGUCAGCUGACCGCCCAGUACGGAACUAAAAGGCCGGCGCGAACUGCCUGCCUGCCUGCCGCUGCCGCCUCCGCGCUCCUGCUCCGCGCUCCGCCCUCGGUACCGCGAGUCCGCCCCGUCGCCAUGGCCGGGCUUGUGGUCAGUGGAACUCAAGUGUCCUACAUAGGCCAGGACUGCAGAGAGAUUCCAGAGCACCUCGGCAGGGACUAUGGACACUUUGCAAAGAGGCUCGACCUGAGCUUUAACCUUCUGAGGUAUGCCUUGACGCUGCUGCACGUGAAUCUCCGGCUCCCCUCUUGGUGCCCUUGAAGACGCAUCAAGCAUAAGCAUCCUGUCUUACGUGUGUCCCUAUGAGAGGGCCGUCGGUGUCCUCUUGUUCUUUUCUCACUGAUGCCCUUGCGGACAAGUGGCAAUACUUUUGGGGAAGGAGUGAGAUAAAGCCAGCUGGUGUCUUGGGGGUGUUAGGAAUGCUUUCCUGGGUAACCCCAUCUCCCAGGUAGAAUGCGUGCGUCUUCUCUCUCUCUUUUUUUUUCUUUGCCUUUUAAUGAAUUGGAACCUUAAAUAUUUGUGAUGCUGAUUUCUCCCAGAUGGUAUUUCAGAGUAAUUGAAACACUGCUGCCAUGGGGGUGGAUGGGAGGGAAACUCAAACAACUGUUCCAGUCUUGGCAGAAGGUAAGGGUGCUGGUCUGUAUUCUCCCAGUGGAGACAACGGUUAUUUUCUUCCUAAAAGGUUUUGAAUUGCAACGGGCUUGGGGGCCUGGCCGAGGGAAGGAGGAGGUGCCCGGAAAGCCCGUGUCAGUGGGAUAAAUGGACAGGGAUCUGGGGGGUGGCUUGUCCUAACCGGUACCUCUACACAGAGCUUGGCCCUAAGUGUCCCUCUGAAAGCCGCCUGUCCUCUGAAUGGAGCCAUUGGUCUCGAGUGGAAGGAGAGAUGAGGAGCUGGAAUCCCACCCUAGGGCUCUGAUGCUUUGCUUCUUCCAUCUUGUGGAGUCUCCACUCUGAGUCGGGACCCUCUGGAAUGAGGAGGAUGGGACAAAACUCGGUGCUUGAAGGCACCAGAGGGUAGAGGGGACUGUGAAUUGAAGCUGAGCCGGCAGAGUUUCUUGGUGGUGCUCAGGCGCAAGGCCAGGCUAGGAUGCAUCGUCCCGACAGAAGGGGCCUCCAGGGGCUUGCGUGGGAAGAGUAUGGGCAAUGCACGCGUUCUCUUCCUGACUCCCAAGGGUUUGUAUGCUUCUGGGGAGACGGGGAAACAGAAAAGUCACCAAGAAAUGGAGUGAUGAGAGGAUGCCAAACAAACGCUGCCUCUAAAGAAAUUAAGGGUGGUGUUGGGUCCUUAUGCAAGGAGGGGACAGAAUAUACAGCCUCGAUAGGACAGUGCCUGAGUCACGUGUGCCGCUCAAAGAGCUCCCCCGUGCAGACUCAGAUAAAGUGUUUCUGUGGGCACGGAGAGGCAUUCUUCCCAUGUGACUGGCCUCUGGGGACCUGGGGCUUUGUGGCUCAGGCAGUGGCUGCUUUGCUGCCGGGAGCCCGGAUGUGGUUUUGAGAAGGCUGGCCCUGUGAAGGGGUGUCAGCAGUCAUAGGUCAUGGGACUGGGCUUGUUGGGUCUGAGGAAACGGCCGUCUUUGUUGCUCUCUGGGUCCUGCCUCCCUUGGGCAGAAAAGGGGCUGGGAUUCUAGGAGGCGUGUGGGUGUGGGAUGACAGUUCAGUGGUGAGAAGGGGCUCUUGGCUCUUCUGAGGGGCUGGAUCUAUUGGGAAAUGGCAGGUCUUGGAGCCCGGAAAUUUUUGGUAAAGUGGAGAUUCAGAGGAGGAGAAGUUAACAUUUUUCUUUUUCUGUGUUAAGUUGGAGGAGUGACCGCUUCUGGCCAGGAAGGAACCUAUUCUUAGCCAUGUUGGGUCAGUGUGUGACCUGCAUCCUGGGCUGGGGCAGGAGUGAUCCGUGGAGCCACGAGUUCUGAUGGGAGGGUUUAUAUUAGGACUUGGUUAAACUGGACAGAGUUCCAGACCAGAAGAGAGAAACACAGUGCUGGUUUGACAUGGUUAUGUUGGGACUGGCUUCUCUUAGAUGGUCUUAUUUACCUAACCCCGGGGGGCGAGGGGAGGUGGCACUAUUUCUCUCUGGUGUCAGAGGAAGAUGGAAGCUUACUCAGGCACUGGUCUCUGUCUUUGCCUUCAGGUGGAAUAAAAUUCAAAGAUCAUUUAGAUCCUUAACUCAUUUCUC